GAUGAACGCUGGCGGCGUGCCUAAUACAUGCCAGUCGAGCGAACAGACGAGGAGCUUGCUCCUCUGACGUUAGCGGCGGACGGGUGAGUAACACGUGGAUAACCUACCUAUAAGACUGGGAUAACUUCGGGAAACCUGAGCUAAUACCGGAUAAUAUAUUGAACCGCAUGGUUCAAUAGUGAAAGACGGUUUUGCUGUCACUUAUAGAUGGAUCCGCUCCGCAUUAGCUAGUUGGUAAGGUAACGGCUUACCAAGGCAACGAUGCGUAGCCGCCCUGAGAGGGUGAUCGGCCACACUGGCAGUGAGACACGGUCCAGACUCAUACGGGAGGCAGCAGUAGGGAAUCUUACGCAAUGGGCGAAAGCCUGACGGAGCAACGCCGAGUGAGUGAUGAAGGUCUUCGGAUCGUAAAACUCUGUUAUUAGGGAAGAACAAAUGUGUAAGUAACUAUGCACGUCUUGACGGUACCUAAUCAGAAAGCCACGGCUAACUACGUG
rnacentral:rRNA from 1 species